GACGAACGCUGGCGGCGUGCUUAACACAUGCAAGUCGAACGGAAAGGCCCUGCUUUUGUGGGGUGCUCGAGUGGCGAACGGGUGAGUAACACGUGAGUAACCUGCCCUUGACUUUGGGAUAACUUCAGGAAACUGGGGCUAAUACCGGAUAGGAGCUCCUGCUGCAUGGUGGGGGUUGGAAAGUUUCGGCGGUUGGGGAUGGACUCGCGGCUUAUCAGCUGGUUGGUGGGGUAGUGGCUUACCAAGGCUUUGACGGGUAGCCGGCCUGAGAGGGUGACCGGCCACAUUGGGACUGAGAUACGGCCCAGACUCCUACGGGAGGCAGCAGUGGGGAAUAUUGCACAAUGGGCGGAAGCCUGAUGCAGCAACGCCGCGUGCGGGAUGACGGCCUUCGGGUUGUAAACCGCUUUCGCCUGUGACGAAGCGUGAGUGACGGUAAUGGGUAAAGAGGCACCGGCUAACUACGUG
rnacentral:rRNA from 1 species